GACAAACCAUUUUCUUAUUGCCGUCGGUCUUGUUCUUCAAUAUAGAGACUGAUGAGGACACGGUCACGUGAUAUUUAGUGGUGGGAGAACCACGAACGCGGCUGGAUACAAGUAAGUGCAAACGAGUGUAUCCAUACCUAUUGAUCGUCGAGCAAUAUAUUUACCAAAUGUAAAUUGCUUGUUGUCUGCUCAAUCUGUAGACCGAUGUGUUGUACUAAUACUAUUGUGUUUAUGUGCCUCUAUAACAUGUUAACCAGAGUGUUCCUAGAAGACCAGACGAAUGGAGAAUGAGCAACAGAAACUCCAAUCAGAGGAUUAUCCUUAUAUCUGUCAGCGGAGACCAAGCCAGGACCCGAUACAUGUGCUUCAUCAAUGAUGAUAUUUACCUGCUGUAUGAAAUUUUAGACUCAACAAUUAGACUGUGGUUUGUUACAAUUGUUUUUUUAAAAUCAAAGUCGGUCAAAUAAGUGCUGAUAAUACCUUUUGAUUCCUAUCGCAGUUGUAUUUAUUUCAUAUGCAUCAUCCCUAAAUCCUGUUACCUUGUUAUUAAAUGAAUGUAACUCAUACUAUCA